UCUCUUUUUCCAAAUCUGUUCAUCAGACUAACACAAACAACAAUUUCAAAAAUCUUCAACCAACAAUCAUCAAUCUCGUUUUCUUUCAAACCAUACCAACAUCAAUUUCGUUUUUCUCGAUUAACACCGAACCGGAUCGGAAUCAAAAAGAAGAAGGAACAAAACCGAAUCGGAAAAGGAACAGAUCAGAAGCAGAGACAGAGGAAGAGGUAGAAAGUUCUUCCUUCGUUUUCUUUAAGUCCAGAUCUAGCAUUUUUCAAACAUUUUCUUUAAAAACUAAGUUGAUUUUCGUAA
rnacentral:lncRNA from 1 species